rnacentral:antisense_RNA from 1 species
AGAAGUGCACUUGAAAAAAAGAACAAAGCAGAUGAGAGUAUUCAGUGGCUGGAGAUACACAAAAAGAAGUCUCAAGCAAUGUCCAAAUCUGUGACCUUGCGUGCAAAAGCCAUGGAUCCCCAUAAAAGCCUGGAGGAAGUGUUCAAAGCAAAGCUGAAAGAGAACCGGAACAAUGACCGUAAAAGAGCGAAAGAAUAUAAGAAAGAGCUGGAAGAAAUGAAGAAGCGAAUACAAACAAGGCCCUAUCUCUUUGAACAAGUUGCCAAGGAUCUAGCCAAGAAAGAAGCAGAACAAUGCUAUCUAGACACCCUGAAGCAGGCUGGGCUGGAGGAAGACUUUGUGAGAAACAAGGGUCAAGGCACCCGGGCUGUUCAAGAGAAGGAGACCAAAGUCAACGAUUUUCCCAGGCACACAGUAGGCACUGAAUAAAUGCAUGCUGACCUCACCUGUUAAGUUUUUCAGAGAAGAGGGCCUGGCCUGUGUAACUUGGGUGAAAUUUCUAUACCAGAGAGAAGCAAGUGUUUCCUAGAGAGCCCUUUCUUUUCUCCAGAAGAUAUGGCUUUUGAAGAAAUGGGGCUUCACUGUGUUGCCCAGGCUGGUCUCGAACUCGUGGGCUAAAGUGAUCUGCUCGCCUCAGCCUCCCAAAGUGCCGAGAUUACAGGCAUAAACCACUGCGCCCUGCCAACAAUGACAACCUAACAGCAACAGGCACAUGGCACCCAGACUGUGGUUCCAACUAUAAGGAACCAGGACUCCAUGGAGGAAUAGCUGAUUCCAAGUCCAAGGUAAGCCUGGGACUGUUGUGUUAGAAAGCAAAGAGGCUAUAACAAGACAAAUGGGUCAUGUCAAAAGCAUAAAUACAGCAUGAGAAGCUCCAAAAAUAACAACCAGGCCAGGCAUGGUGGCUCACGCCUAUAAUCCCAGUACUUUGGGAAGCCAAGACAGGUGAAUCACUGGAGGCCAAGAGUUCAAGACCAGCCUAACAAGGCAAAACCCCAUCUCUACUAAAAAAUAUGCAAACAUUAACAAGACAUUGGUGGUGGACGCCUGUAGUGCCAGCUAUUCACGAAACUGUGGCAUGAGAAUCGCUUGAACCAGGGAGUCCAGUAUAAUUACCCUCACAGAAAAGCUAAAGAUAUCACAAGAAAACAUUACAGGCCAAUAUCCCUCAUGAACCUACAGACUCCUUUUCCUCCUUCCUUUCCACUCUCCGGCCCUCCUUCUCUAUCUCUCCCUUCCUCUCAUCAUUCCUUCCUUCCUUCCCUCCCUCUCUCUUACUGAUUGAUUUUUUUUGUAGAGGACAGGUCUCCCUAUGCUGCCCAGGCUGGUCUAGAACUCCUAGGCCCAAGCAAUCCUCUGCCUUGGCCUCCCAAAGUGCUGAGAUUACAGGCAUGAGCCACCACAUCCAGCCAGCUGUAAAAAUUCUUAACAAAUUAUGACAAAACCAAGUCUAGCACCACAUAAAUAGGACUAAACACCAUGACCAAAUGGGAUUUACCCUAGAAAUACAAAGUUGGUUUUACAUCCAAAAACCAACUACUAGCAGUAACAUUAGUAGCAUACAGUACAAAAACAACAAGAUCAUCUCAACAGACACACGAAGGUGUCUGACAAGAUCCAAUACCCAUUCAUAAUAAAAAUUCUCAACAUACUAGGAAGAGAAGGUAAAUUCCUUCAUCCGAUAAAAGGCAUCUAUGAAAAAACUACAGCUUACAUCAAAUUUAAUCAUGAAAGGCCAGGUGGAUUACCUGAGAUCAGGAGUUCAAGACCAGCCUGGCCAACAUGCUGAAACACUGUCUCUACUAAAAAUACAAAAUUAUCCGGGUAUGGUGGCUCACGCGUGUAAUCCCAGUUUCUCGAGAGGCUGAGGCAAGAGAAUCUCUUGAACCCGGGAGGCAGAGGCUGCAGUGAGCCGAGAUUACGCCACUGCACUCCAGCCUGGGUGACAGUGGGAGACUCAGUCUCCAAAAAAAAAAAAAAAAAAAAAAAAAGGAAAUUAAGGCCAGGUGCAGUGGCUCAUGCCUGUCAUCCCGACGUUGGAAGGCUUAGACAGGAAGACUGCUUGAUCCCAGGAGUGUGAAACCAGCCUGGGCAAUAUGGCAAGACCCUGUCUCUAUAACAAUUUUUUAAAAAAACUAGCUGGGAGCCAGGCACGGUGGCUCAUACCUGUAAUCCCAGCACUUUGGGAGGCCAAGGCAGGCAGAUCACUUGAGGUCAGGAGUUCAAUACUAGCCUGGCCAACAUGGUGAAAACCCAUCUCUACCAAAAAUACAAAAAUUAGCUGGGCGUGCUGGUGCAUGCCUGUAAUCCCAACUACUCGGAAGGCUGAGGCAGGAGAAUCACUUGAACCUGGGAGGUGGAGGUUGCAGUGAGCAGAGAUUGCGCCACUGUAUUCCAGCCUGGGGAACACAGCAAGACUCAGAAAAAAAAAGCUGGGCAUGUGCCUGUACUCCCAGCCUCGGGAAGCUGAUGUGGAAGGACUGCCCAAGCCCAGGAGGUCAAGGCUGCAGUCAACCAUGACCAUACCACUGCACUCCAACCUGAGCAACAGAGGGAGACCAUGUCUCAAAAAAAAGCAAGAAAGGAAAUUAAAGGCACCUAGAUUGGAAAGGAAAAAGCAAAACUAUCUUUAAUCUCAGAUGACAUGAUCUUUUAUGUAGAAAACACUAAGAAAUCGAUUUUUUAAAAACUACUAAAACUCAGCCAGGUGUGGUGGCUCAUGCCUGUAAUCCCAAUAUUUUGGGAGGCCAAGGUGGGAAUAUCACUUGAGGCCAGGAGUUCAGGACCAGCCCAGGCAACACAAAAAGACUCCAUUUCUACAAAAUAAUAGAAAUUAGCUAGAUGUGGUGGUGUGAGCCUGUAGUCCUAUUGCGAGAAACAGGACUGGAGAGACUGACAUGGAGAACACGAGGAUUGUUUAUUUUAGGUACACACCCGCUCAGUGGAUUCACAUCCAAAAAGCUGAGCAUUAAACAAAGACAGAGUGGGGUUUUUAUAAGCAGACUUAACAAAAGUAAAACAAAAGCAGUUAAUCAUGACAGGUCACAUACUCUAUAGCAUAGCAUAACUUGUGGCCUUGCAUAGCUGGUGACCUUGUAGCUGCGUUGAAAGAAAAAUAAGAACUGGCUAAAUACAGACAUUUGUAAAACAUAGUUAUGCUUAAGAAGCCAGGGAAAGGAGUAACAGUAAAGGAAUUUGUCUUUCUCUCUCUUUUUUUUUUUCCUUCAACCUUGCUCUGGAAGAGAGGGUGUCUGGAGUCCAUUCCUUUGGCCUUGGCUUCUCAAACAGCGUUAUCUUAUAACUGUCCUUGAAGUGAGCUUGGUAGGCAGAGGAAAACUUGUUCUUUUCUUUUUAACCCUUGCCUUGCCUAUUACUUUUCUUGGAGUGAAUGAAUGCAUAUUUAUUUUUAAAUUUCUGCCUCAGUCCCAGCUACUGGGGAGGCUGAGGUGGUAAGAUCACUUGUUCCCAGGAGUUCAAAGACUUCAGUGAGCUAUGAUGGUGCCACUGCACUCUAGCCUGGGCAAUAGAGUGAGACUUUGUCUCUAAAAAAAUAAACA